GUUACAAAAGAUUAAACUUUGAAUCCCAAAGAGAUGAGAGACUUUGUCAGCAAAUCAGAGACAAUAGUCAGGAGUUGAGAGAGUUAGAGUCAAAGUUACGUGCUGGAUACAUGAACAAGGAAAGAGCAGCUCAACUUCAA